rnacentral:rRNA from 1 species
UACGGAGGGUGCAAGCGUUGUUCGGAAUCAUUGGGCGUAAAGCGCGUGUAGGCGGCUUGGCAAGUCGGUUGUGAAAGCCCGGGGCCCAACCCCGGAACUGCAUCUGAAACUGCCUGGCUAGAGUCCCGGAGAGGAAGGCAGAAUUCCCGGUGUAGGGGUGAAAUCCGUAGAUAUCGGGAGGAAUACCAGCGGCGAAGGCGGCCUUCUGGACGGUGACUGACGCUGAGACGCGAAAGCGUGGGGAGCAAACAGGA